rnacentral:rRNA from 1 species
AUUGAACGCUGGCGGCAGGCCUAACACAUGCAAGUCGAACGGUAACAGGAAGCCGCUUGCUGCUUCGCUGACGAGUGGCGGACGGGUGAGUAAUGUCUGGGAAGCUGCCUGAUGAGGGGGAUAACUACUGGAAACGGUAGCUAAUACCGCAUAAUGUCGCAAGACCAAAGAGGGGGACCUUCGGGCCUCUUGCCAUCGGAUGUGCCCAGAUGGGAUUAGCUUGUUGGUGGGGUAACGGCUCACCAAGGCGACGAUCCCUAGCUGGUCUGAGAGGAUGACCAGCCACACUGGAACUGAGACACGGUCCAGACUCCUACGGGAGGCAGCAGUGGGGAAUAUUGCACAAUGGGCGCAAGCCUGAUGCAGCCAUGCCGCGUGUAUGAAGAAGGCCUUCGGGUUGUAAAGUACUUUCAGCGGGGAGGAAGGGAGUAAAGCUAAUACCUUUGCUCAUUGACGUUACCCGCAGAAGAAGCACCGGCUAACUCCGUG